AAUGGGGGAAACCCUGACCCAGCAACGCCGCGUGAAGGAAGAAGGUUUUCGGAUUGUAAACUUCUGUCCUUGGUGAAGAGAAGAAGACGGUAGCCAAGGAGGAAGCCCCGGCUAACUACGUGCCAGCAGCCGCGGUAAUACGUAGGGGGCAAGCGUUGUCCGGAAUGAUUGGGCGUAAAGGGCGCGUAGGCGGCUUUAUAAGUCUGGAGUGAAAGUCCUCUUUUCAAGGGAGGAAUUGCUUUGGAAACUAUAGAGCUUGAGUGCAGGAGAGGUUAUCGGAAUUCCCGGUGUAGCGGUGAAAUGCGUAGAUAUCGGGAGGAACAUCGGUGGCGAAGGCGGGUAACUGGACUGCAACUGACGCUGAGGCGCGAAAGUGUGGGGAGCAAA
rnacentral:rRNA from 1 species